GGCAGGGGUGCUUUUGUCCAGGUCUAAUUUAUCAGCUGCUUGUGGGAGUUGAUAUUCAAAGCUAGGUACAAGAAGAUCUGAACUCUUUUUAGGAGGUCCUUCACCAUCUAACAGAGAGCCACUUGCAGAUGAAGAACAUGUGAUGGGAAUUUUAUCCACAAGAGAUUUCAAAAUAUAACUCUUCACGGGCUGAAAGCACUUUAUAAUUUCUUCAAGGCAACGGUUGGGGCGCAGCAUUCCAUCAGAAAUGUCAAUGAAACAAAUUGGGCAGCUGUUCUUUAAACUUAUGUUGUUUCGUAUGCAUCGUGAGCAAACUGGUAAUAAAAGAAAAACAUUACACAGAUAAGUAUUUAAAGGUUCAAAGAAACAAUAUAAGUCAUUACAAUUGUGUGAGCAAGCAGUCGAUAUCACAGGAUUUAUCAUGUAGUUGUAGCAAAUGGGACAAUGGAGACGGUCGUCGAUGUUUUUCAACUGAGUUUGCCUUUCAACUUCUGUGUACAUGUGAUCCCGCCAUCACCUUAACUUUCACGUUGUCAAGUCGCAUUUCUUUCAACAGCACUGUUGCCAAUGAUAAUUUCCGGCUCAACAACUUCGUUUUUGAUUUGAAUAUUACACUUUACGAAUCCAACUGAGAUCACUGUGAAGUUGUACUGAAAUAGUUAGGUCUGAAAAUGAUCAGGAGAUGUUUUACGGAUUUAUCUAGAUUAUAUUGGCAUGGUGUUUCUUAUGAAUAAUAUCUCCACCAUUCCAUUAGCUCUUCGCUCCAUGUUCAUCAACCAGGUGAUUUAAAUAUUGAUGUCCGAGACUUCAUCAGUUAAUUCAGCUAACCCAACAAAAGCUAGAACACUCAAGUGCUCCUUGCAGGUCCCUUGAUGUCAACACCAACAAUACGGGCAGCUCCUACCAUUUUUGCCCGUAUUGCCACAAUAAGCCUGAUUCGACAUAGACCCCAAAUAGCGAAGGUACGUACAUCCAGCCCGCACUUUACUGUGUUGAAAGCCGCCAGACGUCCGUCCCAAUUCCACACCUGAUGAAUCCGUUUCUGUCAUACGGAACAUUUGGAUUUAUCUUUGAAAAAAGAUGAAAUCUUAUUUCGUUGACAAAAUGUGAUUCCAAACGUGCUCCUACAGGGCCCCUUCACUAACCUACACUGCAAACAUUUCCGGGUCGUCGUCAUCAUUUUUCAAGAAAUAAGUCGGUAUGACAAGCACCCGAAGCGACGAUACUGAAGCGGACGUCUCCGAUCCGUAGAACAACUACAUGUGCCGUUUCAAUCACGAGAGGUUCACCAGCCGAGCAAGCAAUGAAAUGCAAAGCCUUGGCGUUUAAUCAUUGGGAAAAUACAACCAAGUUCCACAAGAAACUUCAUCUGUUUCAUGGUGAGUAUGAAUAAAGCAAUCGUAGGAAAGGCCGAGAGAAAGGGCGUGUUGCGAUGUUAUCACAUGACUGAAUGUCGUGUAUUGAUUGAGGCUAGUUGAAGUAGCUCACUUGCUAUGGCCACGUGAGUGCACCAUCUGUUGUUUGACUUGUUGCAGCUUUUCAUUACCUAUGGUUGACGUAAACUCCAUAAUUAGUUGUGUAAAUAACUUAACCGCUUUUAUUAUCUAUCAUGCACUCCAAGCAGUUAACCGCUUUAUCCUCUUGAAUAUAGAGCAGAGUAUUCGAUCGCUUCGGAGGCGGUUGAUAAUUUUGCCGUCAGUCUGAUGUGAAGAGGUUUUUUUUAAGGGAGGGGAUUAGACGCGUUCCCUCUCGAUAGCCUUGUACUAAAAAACUAAUAUGAAGUGAGUGACAGGUACUCAAUCAGCAUACCCGGUGGGAAGGGGCAGUGACUGGAUAGCUAGUUUCAUUUUGUGAUGAGGAAACAUGAUGUUACCGUUACCUAUUUAGCUAAUAUCCUGUUAUUUCUGUUUUUUUUUUAUCAUAAUUUUUAUCUUGAGAUAAAAAUAGAAUCACCAGUACACUAUAGACAAUGGGGACGAUCUUA
rnacentral:lncRNA from 1 species